UACAGAGGUCUCAAGCGUUGUUCGGAUUCAUUGGGCGUAAAGGGUGCGUAGGUGGCGCCGUAAGUGGGGGUGUGAAAAUCUCGGGGCUUAACUCCGAAACUGCAUUCCAUACUGCGGUGCUCGAGGACUGGAGAGGAGACUGGAAUUCAUGGUGUAGCAGUGAAAUGCGUAGAGAUCAUGAGGAAGACCAGUGGCGAAGGCGGGUCUCUGGACAGUUCCUGACACUGAGGCACGAAGGCCAGGGGAGCAAACGGG
rnacentral:rRNA from 1 species